AUUGAACGCUGGCGGCAGGCCUAACACAUGCAAGUCGAGCGAGCGGCGGACGGGUGAGUAAUGUAUGGGGACUGCCCGAUAGAGGGGGAUAACUACUGGAACCGGGAGCUAAUACCGCAUAAUAUCGGGGAAUCCAAAUGGGAUUAGCUAGUAGGGGGGGUAAGGGCUCACCUAGGCGACGAUCCAUAGCUGGUCUGAGAGGAGGAUCAGCCACACUGGGACUGAGACACGGCCCAGACUCCUACGGAGGCAGCAGUGGGGAAUAUUGCACAAGGGGCGCAAGCCUGAUGCAGCCAUGCCGCGUGUAUGAAGAAGGCCCUAGGGUUGUAAAGUACUUUCAGUCGGGAGGCGUUACCGACAGAAGAAGCACCGGCUAACUCCGUGCCAGCAGCCGCGGUAAUAC
rnacentral:rRNA from 1 species